UUAACAAACUUUGUUCAUCACCACAGUAUUUAAGAUGAAGUUGAUAACUAAUUUAAAUCAUUUUAAUUGUAAUGUUUCCUGAUAAUUCAACACUUGACAUCUUAACCUUUAGUUCUACGACUUGUUCAUCAAAUUUCUUGAUGAAAUCAUGUGCCUGAUAAUUGAAUGGAAAUGGUGAGAUAACUCACUCAAUAUGGAGAAUCAACUUCUUUGGUCAACUUGUUGCUGAUGACCACUUGGGUUCCAUGUUAAUGGCUCAUUCACUUCAUGGAGAGACUGAUUGUCCUCUCUGAUCAACUUGAUUGUAGAUGAACACGUGGACCCGCUGAUUGUGGUCAACUCUUUUUCCAUGGCUGGUGGAUGAACCAAUCAGCACAUUUGUGCUCUUAUUCAUUUUGAUCGUUUCCAUGAACAGUUUUGUCAACGAAUGAUAAUUUAAUGAAUAUUUGAACAAUUAAAUAAACAGUAAAGUUUAUUGUUUAACUUGUAUUAACGAAAAUAAAUACUUGUUAAAAUUAAACUCAAUUGAAAUAAAUCAACUAUUUACUUCA